ACGGGUGAGUAAUGCUUAUCUAACUUGCCAAUUAGUGGGGGAUAACCAUGGGAAACCAUGGCUAAUACCGCAUUUGUUACUUCGGUAAUGAAAGAGAGUCGCAAGAUUCUCGCUAAUUGAUAGGGAUAAGUCGUAUUAGUUAGUUGGUGGGGUAAUGGCCUACCAAGACCAUGAUGCGUAGCCAGUCUGAGAGGAUGAAUGGCCACAAGGGAACUGAGACACGGUCCCUACUCCUACGGGAGGCAGCAGUGAGGAAUUUUCGGCAAUGGGGGCAACCCUGACCGAGCAAUACUACGUGAAGGAGGAAGGUCUACGGAUUGUAAACUUCUGUUAGCAGGGAAGAAGGGCUGGACGUGAGUUCAGUUUUGACGGUACCUGCAGAGAAAGCCACGACUAACUACGUGCCAGCAGUCGCGGUAAGACGUAGGUGGCGAACGUUAUCCGGAAUUAUUGGGCGUAAAGGGUGCGUAGAUGGUGUAAUAAGUUAUCAGCGGUAAAUCGGGGCUCAACCUCGUGGAAGUCGGUAAUACUGUUAUACUUGAGUGCAGGAGAGGUUAACGGAACUCCAUGUGGAGCGGUAAAAUGCGUAGAUAUAUGGAAGAACACCAAUAACGGCGAAGGCAGUUAACUAUUCUGUUACUGACAUUGAGGCACGAAAGCGUGGGGAGCAAAACGGAUUAGAUACCCGUGUAGUCCACGCCCUAAACGAUGAGUACUAGAUAUUGGGAACUUGAUUCUCAGUGUCGCUAGGUAACCCGGUAAGUACUCCGCCUGGGUAGUACGCUCGCAAGAGUGAAACUCAAAGGAAUUGACGGGGACUCGCACAAGCAGUGGAGCAUGUGGUUUAAUCCGAUACAACGCGUAGAACCUUACCAAGGCUUGACAUGUUGGGCAAAGCUAGGGAAACCUAGUGGAGGUUAUCCUAACACAGGUGCUGCAUGGCCGUCGUCAGUUCGUGCCGUGAGGUGUAUGGUUAAGUCCUAUAACGAACGCAACCCUUGGGCUUAGUUACCAGCAUUCAGUUGGGGACUCUAAGCCGACUGCCUGAGUAAUCAGGAGGAAGGAAAGGAUGACGUCUGGUCGUC
rnacentral:rRNA from 1 species